CACACACUGGAAAGGGACGUUCCCUGAGAUGUGGUGUCCCACACUCCCAAGUGCAUCUGCACAGUUGAGUUGGGUUGCACCUGUUUCUCAGGAUGAAGCGGAAGGCACCCACCAAGAGUGAAUGUCGCAGACACACAGUGCCCUCAGAUAAAGCGGCACCCAGCCGGUUGCCACAGCAACGGCUGGAGCAAAAGGAGGGGGAGAGGAAUCUGGGCAUGCCCAGUACACUAGGAUUGUGGAGGCUGUGAUUUAAAGGCGACGGUUUUAUGUGUGUCUCACUCAACAAGGAGAUGUGAUCAAAGGCUUCAAUUAGCUCCUCCAGGCCUUUCCAACUCAGUUGUAACCAACUCCUAUGUGAAAAUUGCCUGGAUUAGAAAUAUCUACAGUAGUUUUUAUUUUCCUGACUGGACUCCAACUGAUUAAAGAACAAUGAGGCAGAGCAACACCAAUUCCAAUCAGUAAUUUUACAUCGGGGACUCAAAUACUGAAUUAAAUUAGAAUAUGCAUACUUCAUAUGUGAUCUCAAUUCAGUAUGCCUCUGCUCUGCACUUUUAAGAGAUUUAUCACAGAAUCAGGAUUGCACCAGAUUCGUUGACCGCAUUUAUCGUCAAAGAAACUCGGUUCUCCACAAAUGCGUUUCCAUUAUCAAGAGCAGCGCUUCUUUCAGGCCACUGUAUUUGUA